rnacentral:rRNA from 1 species
UACGUAGGGUGCAAGCGUUAAUCGGAAUUACUGGGCGUAAAGCGUGCGCAGGCGGUUGUGCAAGACAGAUGUGAAAUCCCCGGGCUCAACCUGGGAACUGCAUUUGUGACUGCACGGCUAGAGUGUGGCAGAGGGGGGUAGAAUUCCACGUGUAGCAGUGAAAUGCGUAGAUAUGUGGAGGAAUACCGAUGGCGAAGGCAGCCCCCUGGGAUAACACUGACGCUCAUGCACGAAAGCGUGGGGAGCAAACAGG